UUCAUCCUUUAGGUGAAGCUGGUUGGUGAGU
rnacentral:piRNA from 1 species